AUGAUGAUCACCUUUAUCAUAUUUUUGGUCACCUGCUAAUGCUGCUUAUAGAAGGAGGCUGAGUCUUGAGCUUCACAAUCGCCUUGCACAUCUGCGCAGUGUUGACCCCUUGCAGCCUGUGAUGAUUCCACUGGAAUUGAGGAUGUUGGACCAUUCAGUAGUAAUGGAUAUACUUAUGGGGCAUAACACCGUAAAUGAAGCGCAUUUUGAUUUAGA